rnacentral:rRNA from 1 species
GCUUGUCUCAAAGAUUAAGCCAUGCAUGUCUUAGUGUAAAUAACUCUUAUGAAACUGCGAAUGGCUCAUUAAAUCAGUUAUCGUUUAUUUGAUGGUUCUUGCUACUUGGAUAACCGUAGUAAUUCUAGAGCUAAUACAUGCAUCAAACCCCGACUCCUGGAAGGGGUGUAUUUAUUAGAUGGAAACCAAUGCGGGGCAACCCGGAUUCUGGUGAUUCAUAAUAACUUUCGGAUCGAUCCUCGGAUCGAUGCAUCAUUCAAGUUUCUGCCCUAUCAGCUUUGGAUGGUAGGGUAUUGGCCUACCAUGGCUUUAACGGGUAACGGAGAAUUAGGGUUCGAUUCCGGAGAGGGAGCCUGAGAAAUGGCUACCACAUCCAAGGAAGGCAGCAGG